rnacentral:rRNA from 1 species
AUUGAACGCUGGCGGCAGGCCUAACACAUGCAAGUCGAACGAGUGGCGGACGGGGAGUUAUGUCUGGGGAACCGCCCGAAUGAGGGGGAUAACCUCCGGAAACCGUAGCUUAUACCGCAUACCAUUGGAUGUGCCCCGAUGGGAAUUGCUAGUAGGUGGGGUAAAGGCCUCCCCAGGCGACGAACCCUAGCUGGUCUGAGAGGAUGACCAGCCACACUGGAACUGAGACACGGUCCAGACUCCUACGGGAGGCAGCAGUGGGGAAUAUUGCACAAUGGGCGCAAGCCUGAUGCAGCCAUGCCGCGUGUAUGAAGAAGGCCUUCGGGUUGUAAAGUACUUUCAGCGGGGAGGCGUUACCCGCAGAAGAAGCACCGGCUAACUCCGUGCCAGCAGCCGCGGUAAUUC